rnacentral:rRNA from 1 species
AUGAACGCUAGCUACAGGCUUAACACAUGCAAGUCGAGGGGCAGCAUGGUCUUAGCUUGCUAAGGCCGAUGGCGACCGGCGCACGGGUGAGUAACACGUAUCCAACCUGCCGUCUACUCUUGGACAGCCUUCUGAAAGGAAGAUUAAUACAAGAUGGCAUCAUGAGUCCGCAUGUUCACAUGAUUAAAGGUAUUCCGGUAGACGAUGGGGAUGCGUUCCAUUAGAUAGUAGGCGGGGUAACGGCCCACCUAGUCUUCGAUGGAUAGGGGUUCUGAGAGGAAGGUCCCCCACAUUGGAACUGAGACACGGUCCAAACUCCUACGGGAGGCAGCAGUGAGGAAUAUUGGUCAAUGGGCGAGAGCCUGAACCAGCCAAGUAGCGUGAAGGAUGACUGCCCUAUGGGUUGUAAACUUCUUUUAUAAAGGAAUAAAGUCGGGUAUGGAUACCCGUUUGCAUGUACUUUAUGAAUAAGGAUCGGCUAACUCCGUGCCAGCAGCCGCGGUAAUACGGAGGAUCCGAGCGUUAUCCGGAUUUAUUGGGUUUAAAGGGAGCGUAGAUGGAUGUUUAAGUCAGUUGUGAAAGUUUGCGUCUCAACCGUAAAAUUGCAGUUGAUACUGGAUAUCUUGAGUGCAGUUGAGGCAGGCGGAAUUCGUGGUGUAGCGGUGAAAUGCUUAGAUAUCACGAAGAACUCCGAUUGCGAAGGCAGCCUGCUAAGCUGCAACUGACAUUGAGGCUCGAAAGUGUGGGUAUCAAACAGGAUUAGAUACCCUGGUAGUCCACACGGUAAACGAUGAAUACUCGCUGUUUGCGAUAUACAGCAAGCGGCCAAGCGAAAGCGUUAAGUAUUCCACCUGGGGAGUACGCCGGCAACGGUGAAACUCAAAGGAAUUGACGGGGGCCCGCACAAGCGGAGGAACAUGUGGUUUAAUUCGAUGAUACGCGAGGAACCUUACCCGGGCUUAAAUUGCAGAUGAAUUACGGUGAAAGCCGUAAGCCGCAAGGCAUCUGUGAAGGUGCUGCAUGGUUGUCGUCAGCUCGUGCCGUGAGGUGUCGGCUUAAGUGCCAUAACGAGCGCAACCCUUGUUGUCAGUUACUAACAGGUUCCGCUGAGGACUCUGACAAGACUGCCAUCGUAAGAUGUGAGGAAGGUGGGGAUGACGUCAAAUCAGCACGGCCCUUACGUCCGGGGCUACACACGUGUUACAAUGGGGGGUACAGAGGGCCGCUACCACGCGAGUGGAUGCCAAUCCCCAAAACCUCUCUCAGUUCGGACUGGAGUCUGCAACCCGACUCCACGAAGCUGGAUUCGCUAGUAAUCGCGCAUCAGCCACGGCGCGGUGAAUACGUUCCCGGGCCUUGUACACACCGCCCGUCAAGCCAUGGGAGCCGGGGGUACCUGAAGUGCGUAACCGCGAGGAGCGCCCUAGGGUAAAACUGGUGACUGGGGCU